GACGAACGCUGGCGGCGUGCUUAACACAUGCAAGUCGAACGGAAAGGCCCUGCUUUUGUGGGGUGCUCGAGUGGCGAACGGGUGAGUAACACGUGAGUAACCUGCCCUUGACUUUGGGAUAACUUCAGGAAACUGGGGCUAAUACCGGAUAGGAUCUCCUGCUGCAUGGUGGGGGUUGGAAAGUUUCGGCGGUUGGGGAUGGACUCGCGGCUUAUCAGCUUGUUUGUGGGGUAGUGGCUUACCAAGGCUUUGACGGGUAGCCGGCCUGAGAGGGUGACCGGCCACCAUGGGACUGAGAUACGGCGCAGAAUCCAACGGGAGGCAGCAGUGGGGAAUAUUGCACAAUGGGGGGAAGCCUGAUGCGGCAACGCCGCGUGCGGGAUGACGGCCUUCGGGUUGUAAACCGCUUUCGCCUGUGACGAAGCGUGAGUGACGGUAAUGGGUAAAGAAGCACCGGCUAACUACGUG
rnacentral:rRNA from 1 species